rnacentral:rRNA from 1 species
UACGUAGGGGGGCAAGCGUUGUCCGGAUUUAUUGGGCGUAAAGCGCGUGUAGGUGGCCAUGUAGGUCCGCUGUGAAAACUCGAGGCUCAACCUCGAGCUGUCGGUGGAAACCACAUGGCUAGAGUACGAAAGAGGGUCGCGGAAUUCCCGGUGUAGAGGUGAAAUUCGUAGAUAUCGGGGAGGAACACCGGUGGCGAAGGCGGCGACCUGGGUCGAGACUGACGCUGAGGCGCGAAAGCGUGGGGAGCAAACAGG